AGCGAACGCUGGCGGCAGGCUUAACACAUGCAAGUCGAGCGGGCCCUUCGGGGUCAGCGGCGGACGGGUGAGUAACGCGUGGGAACGUGCCCUCUGGUCUGGAAUAACCCUGGGAAACUAGGGCUAAUACCGGAUACGCCCUUUUGGGGAAAGGCUUGCUGCCGGAGGAUCGGCCCGCGUCUGAUUAGCUAGUUGGUGGGGUAACGGCCUACCAAGGCGACGAUCAGUAGCUGGUCUGAGAGGAUGAUCAGCCACACUGGGACUGAGACACGGCCCAGACUCCUACGGGAGGCAGCAGUGGGGAAUAUUGGACAAUGGGCGCAAGCCUGAUCCAGCCAUGCCGCGUGAGCGAUGAAGGCCUUAGGGUUGUAAAGCUCUUUUAUCCGGGACGAUAAUGACGGUACCGGAGGAAUAAGCCCCGGCUAACUUCGGGCCAGCAGCCGCCGUAA
rnacentral:rRNA from 1 species